AGAGUUUGAUCCUGGCUCAGAAUCAACGCUGGCGGCGUGCCUCAGACAUGCAAGUCGAACGAUUAAAGCUCUCUUCGGAGAGUGUAUAGAGUGGCGCACGGGUGAGUAACACGUAAGUAAUCUACCCUCGGGUGGGGAAUAACAUUCGGAAACGAAUGCUAAUACCGCAUAAUGCAGCGGCUCCUAAUGGAGACAGUUGUUAAAGGAUUUAUUCGCCUGGGGAGGAGCUUGCGGCAGAUUAGCUAGUUGGUAAGGUAAUGGCUUACCAAGGCAACGAUCUGUAGCCGGUCUAAGAGGACGGUCGGUCACACUGACACUGAAUAACGGGUCAGACUCCUACGGGAGGCAGCAGUCGGGAAUUUUGGGCAAUGGGCGAAAGCCUGACCCAGCAACGCCGCGUGAAGGAUGAAGUAUUUCGGUAUGUAAACUUCGAAAGAAUAGGAAGAAUUAAUGACGGUACUAUUUAUAAGGUCCGGCUAACUACGUGCCAGCAGCCGCGGUAAUACA
rnacentral:rRNA from 1 species